UUGCUUCAGCAGCACAUAUAUUAAAAUUGGAAUGAUACAGAGAAGAUUAGGAUGGCCUCUGGGCAAGGAUGACACACAAAUUCAUGAAGCAUUCCAUAUCUUU
ensembl:snRNA U6 U6 spliceosomal RNA